GGGGAUUUAGCUCAGUGGUAGAGCACUUGCCUAGCAAGCACAAGGCCCUGGGUUCGGUCCCCAGCACCG
rnacentral:tRNA from 1 species